rnacentral:rRNA from 1 species
GUACCCUACGGGACGCAGCAGUGGGGAAUAUUGCACAAUGGGGGGAACCCUGAUGCAGCGACGCCGCGUGGGCGAUGGAGUAUUUCGGUAUGUAAAGCCCUAUCGGCAGGGAAGAAGCUGACGGUACCUGACUAAGAAGCCCCGGCUAAAUACGUGCCAGCAGCCGCGGUAAUACGUAUGGGGCAAGCGUUAUCCGGAUUUACUGGGUGUAAAGGGAGCGUAGGCGGCCUGGCAAGCCUGAUGUGAAAUACCGGGGCCCAACCCCGGGGCUGCAUUGGGAACUGCCAGGCUGGAGUGCCGGAGAG